GAUGAACGCUGGCGGCGUGCCUAAUACAUGCAAGUCGAGCGAACAGACGAGGAGCUUGCUCCUCUGACGUUAGCGGCGGACGGGUGAGUAACACGUGGAUAACCUACCUAUAAGACUGGGAUAACUUCGGGAAACCGGAGCUAAUACCGGAUAAUAUAUUGAACCGCAUGGUUCAAUAGUGAAUGACGGUUUUGCUGUCACUUAUAGAUGGAUCCGCGCCGGAUUAGCUAGUUGGUAAGGUAACGGCUUACCAAGGCAACGAUGCGUAGCCGACCUGAGAGGGUGAUCGGCCACACUGGAACUGAGACACGGUCCAGACUCCUACGGGAGGCAGCAGUGGGGAAUCUUCGGCAAUGGGCGAAAGCCUGACGGAGCAACGCCGCGUGAGUGAUGAAGGUCUUCGGAUCGUAAAACUCUGUUAUUAGGGAAGAACAAAUGUGUAAGUAACUAUGCACGUCUUGACGGUACCUAAUCAGAAAGCCACGGCUAACUACGUG
rnacentral:rRNA from 1 species